GAUGAACGCUGGCGGCGUGCCUAAUACAUGCAAGUCGAGCGAAUGGAUUAAGAGCUUGCUCUUAUGAAGUUAGCGGCGGACGGGUGAGUAACACGUGGGUAACCUGCCCAUAAGACUGGGAUAACUCCGGGAAACCGGGGCUAAUACCGGAUAACAUUUUGAACCGCAUGGUUCGAAAUUGAAAGGCGGCUUCGGCUGUCACUUAUGGAUGGACCCGCGUCGCAUUAGCUAGUUGGUGAGGUAACGGCGCACCAAGGCAACGAUGCGUAGCCGACCUGGGAGGGUGGUCGGCCACACUGGGACUGAGACACGGCCCAGACUCCGACGGGAGGCAGCAGUAGGGAAUCUUCCGCAAUGAACGAAAGUCUGACGGAGCAACGCCGCGUGAGUGAUGAAGGCUUUCGGGUCGUAAAACUCUGUUGUUAGGGAAGAACAAGUGCUAGUUGAAUAAGCUGGCACCUUGACGGUACCUAGCCAGAAAGCCACGGCUAACUACGUGCCAGCAGCCGCAGUAA
rnacentral:rRNA from 1 species